CGGACCGGCGCACGGGUGAGUAACGCGUAUGCAACCUGCCUGAUACCGGGGUAUAGCCCAUGGAAACGUGGAUUAACACCCCAUAGUACUUUUAUCCUGCAUGGGAUGUGAGUUAAAUGUUCAAGGUAUCGGAUGGGCAUGCGUCCUAUUAGUUAGUUGGCGGGGUAACAGCCCACCAAGACGAUGAUAGGUAGGGGUUCUGAGAGGAAGGUCCCCCACAUUGGAACUGAGACACGGUCCAA
rnacentral:rRNA from 1 species